GGCCCCGCCGAUCCUGUUCUCCCGGCUGCCUCGCCUGCUUUCGGGUGGCAGCCCCGCAAGGGGGGCAGCGGGUUCCCCCCCAUGAUGUGGGGCUGGGGUCUCCCCAAAAUGUGGGGCUGGGGUCUCCCCAAAAUGUGGGGCUGGCUCUCCCCCAAAAUGGGGCUGGCUCUCCCCCAAAAUGUGGGGCUGGCUCUCCCCCAAAAUGUGGGGCUGGCUCUCCCCCAAAAUGGGGCUGGCUCUCCCCCAGUGGGGCUGGCGUCCCCCCAAUGGGGUUGGGGUCUCUGUGGGGCUGGGGUCCCCCCAACGGGGCUGGGGUCUCCAUGGGGCUGGCGUUCCCCAUGGGGCUGGGGUCCCCCCAAUGGGGCUGGGGUCCCCCCAAUGGGGCUGGGGUCUCCGUGGGGCUGGCAUCCCCCAUGGGGCUGGGGUCCCCCCAAUGGGGCUGGGGUCUCCGUGGGGCUGGGGUCCCCCCAACAGGGCUGGGGUCUCCGUGGGGCUGGGGUCCCCCCAAUGGGGCUGGGGUCUCCGUGGGGCUGGCGUUCCCCAUGGGGCUGGGGUCCCCCCAAUGGGGUUGGGGUCUCCGUGGGGCUGGCGUCCCCCAUGGGGCUGGGGUCCCCCCAACGGGGCUGGGGUCCCCGGGGGCCAGCGGUGCCCCGGUGCUUUGGGUUCUGCCCUGUAUGGCCGUGCCUCGUUCCCACCCCCUAUCCCCCACCCCGCAGAGCCAGGGCGCGCUGGCCGGGCGGCUGCGCAGCUUCAGCAUGCAGGACCUGCGCUCCCUCCCCGACGAAGCCCCCGUGCACUACCGGGACCCCCUGUACCUGGAGGAGCAGGAGAGCCGCAGGCAGCCCCCGGGAGCAGCGGGGUCCCUGCGCGCCGCGUGGCCGGGGGGCUCGGGGGGCUGUGCCAGAGCCGUCGGGUGGCCCCCGUCCCCAGCGGCGCCGCGCUGCGACAGCGAGACGGAGGAGGAGGAGGAAGAGGAAGAGCGCUGGUCGGACUCGCAGCUUUCCCCCAAGCCCGCCCCUCGCCCCCGGGACCCCAGACCCCUCUCCCGGAGCCAGAGCUUGCGCGCGGCGAAGAAGAAGCCCCAAGGCAAAGAGGGCUCUUCCCGGCUGGCGCGCGGCCGCGUUCGGAGGAAGCCGGCUCCGACGGAGCAGGACGGUUAAUUUAACACUGCACCCCCCCCCCCCCUUCCCCGGGAAAAGCAUCGCCAGGAGUCUUAACUUGUUGAUUUGCUGCUGCAGCGCUGGGGGGGGAGCCGGGGGUUGUGCCGCCAGCCCCCCCACCCCACCCCGGGGUGAGGGCUCCCCGCUGCCUCGCGCCGCCCGUGCCUUAGGUUUUGGUGUCUGCGCCCUCCCGGCCGCACCGCGCACCCCGGGGGUGCCUCAUGGAGGGCUUGGGGGGGCUCCAUCCUGCUCCCGGCCGUGCCCCCCCUCCACUUCCCUUGACCAUCGCUGCUGCGGGGGGGCGCCGGCGCCUCUCCCGCGGGGGCCCGGCUCCCCCCUCCCCAAGCACUACAGGAGCCCCGUCCUCGGCACGGGGGCCCUGGGGGGUCCUGCUCUCCCGCUGCCACGUUGCCUUCCUCCCGCGUCCCCUCUCCCCCGGGAGCCGGUGUGGGGACGUUCCUGGGCUCCAUCAAUCCCCCGUGAAGCCAAAGACACCGCCUGUGCCCCCCCCCCAACACCACGGGUGUCCCCCCCCCCUUUUUUUUUUCCCCCUCUCUACUUGAAACCGGAGCACCGGUGCCUGCCCGUGCCCUGCGCGGCACCACGCGGCUUUUAACGCCCUCCCCUCCUCGAGGUGUGUGUCGGGGGGGGGCAUUUUUGUACACGGACGAAUAAAUCUGAUUCCAGACUUUGAGAAAUCGGCGUC
rnacentral:lncRNA from 1 species